CGAACGGUGAAGCAGAGCUUGCUCUGUGGAUCAGUGGCGAACGGGUGAGUAACACGUGAGCAACCUGCCCCUGACUCUGGGAUAAGCGCUGGAAACGGCGUCUAAUACCGGAUAUGAGCUGCGAUCGCAUGGUCAGCAGUUGGAAAGAUUUUUCGGUCUGGGAUGGGCUCACGGCCUAUCAGCUUGUUGGUGAGGUAAUGGCUCACCAAGGCGUCGACGGGUAGCCGGCCUGAGAGGGUGACCGGCCACACUGGGACUGAGACACGGCCCAGACUCCUACGGGAGGCAGCAGUGGGGAAUAUUGCACAAUGGGCGAAAGCCUGAUGCAGCAACGCCGCGUGAGGGAUGACGGCCUUCGGGUUGUAAACCUCUUUUAGCAGGGAAGAAGCGAAAGUGACGGUACCUGCAGAAAAAGCGCCGGCUAACUACGUGCCAGCAGCCGCGGUAAUACGUAGGGCGCAAGCGUUAUCCGGAAUUAUUGGGCGUAAAGAGCUCGUAGGCGGUUUGUCGCGUCUGCUGUGAAAUCCCGAGGCUCAACCUCGGGUCUGCAGU
rnacentral:rRNA from 1 species